rnacentral:rRNA from 1 species
UACAGGGGGUGCAACCGUUGCUCGGAAUUAUUGGGCGUAAAGCGCGCGUAGGCGGCUACUUAAGUCGGAUGUGAAAGCCCUUGGCUCAACUGAGGAAGUGCACCCGAAACUGAGUGGCUUGAGUACAAAAGAGGGUCGCGGAAUUCCCGGUGUAGAGGUGAAAUUCGUAGAUAUCGGGAGGAACACCGGUGGCGAAGGCGGCGACCUGGGUUGAUACUGACGCUGAGGCGCGAAAGCGUGGGGAGCAAACAGG